UCCAAGCGUUAUCCGGAUUUAUUGGGUUUAAAGGGUGCGUAGGUGGCUUUUUAAGUCAGGGGUGAAAGACGGUAGCUUAACUAUCGCAGUGCCUUUGAUACUGAAGAGCUUGAAUGAACUAGAGGUAGGCGGAAUGUGACAAGUAGCGGUGAAAUGCAUAGAUAUGUCACAGAACACCGAUUGCGAAGGCAGAUUACUAUGGUUUUAUUGACACUGAGGCACGAAAGCGUGGGGAUCAAACAGG
rnacentral:rRNA from 1 species